UACGGGGGGAGCAAGCGUUGUUCGGAUUUACUGGGCGUAAAGGGCGCGUAGGCGGCGUGACAAGUCACUUGUGAAAUCUCCGGGCUUAACUCGGAACAGGCAAGUGAUACUGUCGUGCUAGAGUACAGAAGGGGCAACUGGAAUUCUCGGUGUAGCGGUGAAAUGCGUAGAUAUCGAGAGGAACACCUGCGGCGAAGGCGGGUUGCUGGGCUGAUACUGACGCUGAGGCGCGAAAGCCAGGGGAGCGAACGGG
rnacentral:rRNA from 1 species